rnacentral:rRNA from 1 species
ACGGGGGGAGCAAGCGUUGUUCGGAUUUACUGGGCGUAAAGGGCGCGUAGGCGGCCACUGCAAGUCAGUUGUGAAAUCUCCGGGCUUAACUCGGAACGGUCAGCUGAUACUGCAGGGCUAGAGUGCGGAAGGGGCAACUGGAAUUCUCGGUGUAGCGGUGAAAUGCGUAGAUAUCGAGAGGAACACCUGCGGCGAAGGCGGGUUGCUGGGCCGACACUGACGCUGCGGCGCGAAAGCGUGGGGAGCAAACGGGA